GGGCCGCAGGGAGCGGCAGUGGCGCUGAGCAGGCUGCAGCGGAAUGGCGGCGAGCACAGAGCGGCAGGCAGGCAGGCAGGCGGGCAGGGCGUUUCGGGCCAGAGGGAAGCCUCCCGCGUUCCCCGGCAGAGCUGCGUUCUUUGUCUCUCGCAGCAGAGGAGUUUGGGCAGCUCUCUCCAGCAAGCAUGGAAUGAGCUGAAGGAGCAGCAGGAGCAGCAUGGCCAUUCCCCAGGCAGCAGGAGGGUUCAGCCCAGCACCAGCUCAUGCGGGAGGAGCAGAUGCUGAGGAACAUCCCCCACGAGAUGCAGGUGGCAGAAGAGGCUGGGUCAGGAUCUGAUCUCAGCGUGGAGCUGCAAUAAAUCUUGCUCAAGUGAGAUGUGACUCUUCUGAGCACAGCCAGUUUGUCAUUUCCCCCCCAAGCAAACAAGCUGCUUGCUCUGCAACUCCAGCUUGCUGCUUAGCAUCGCUUAGAGUAGCUUCCUGAAAGAAAGCCCUCAGCUACCUGGAGUAAACCUGGAGAGGGAAACCACUGCUGCUGCUGCCUGUGGGCUAAGAAAGCUGUUCCAAGGAGAAGUUUGACUCUGCUGGCAGGGGGUGGAUAAGCUAAUUCAGCUUUUCUUCCCUUUGCACUGAUCAAGAGUCUUUUCAUCUUCCCUGGACUAACUGAAAACCCCUCUUUCAGUAUGUGACCUUGCCUGAGUUGCCUGCUGUUGUGGUCUUCAAAGAUGGAGCUUCCUUUGUUUCUGAUGGUAAGUAAAAGUGGAUAUUGGCCAUAUCAUGGAAUCAGCCAGGCUGGAAGAGACCUCCAAGAUCACCCAGUCCAACCUAGCACCCAGCCCUAACCAAUCAACUGGACCCUGGCACUAAGUGCCUAACAACCAGCCUGUACCUCUCUUGGCACAACUUGAGACUGUGUCCCCUUGUUCUGUUGCUGGUUGCCUGGCAGCAGAGCCCAACCCUAGCUGGCUACUGCACUGCUCCUGUGCACUGCGGCCCUCCUCUGGACCUGCUCCAGCAGGUCCUUGUCUCUUCUGUUGGAGGUUCUGUAGCUGUGUGCAGUACUCCAGGUAGGUCUCACCGGAGCAGGGCAGACUCAUAGACUCAGAGUCAAGCAGGUUGGAAGAGAGCUCCAAGCUCAUCCAGUCCAAUCUAGCCCCCAGCCCUGUCCACUCAACUAGACCAUGGCACUAAGUGCCUCACCCAGGCUGUUCCUGAGCGCUUCCAGACACGGUGACUCUGUGGUGCCACAGCAAAAUACUCCAGGUGGGCCCUCAAGGGUAUUCUUUGAGCUGUCAUGGAAGGGCUGUGCUUGCCUUCCUCUUCGCUCUAUUGCCUUGCAACCAGUCACCCACCAAAGAAAAGUUCACUCAGUGACCUCCUUGAUCUGCAUUUGAUUUAGUUUUACUUUUGAAGUGGCCUGGAGAAGGAAAUUUUGUCAAAGAGAAACAAUUUUAAACUGCUGUUUUGUGGUGUGACCUGUCUGCUUUUGCCACCCCUGUCAAAACACACAAGCCUUGUUUCAAUCCAGGCUCCUAAUUCACUUUGCACAAAUCUUACUCUCUUAAAAUGUAUUAGAAGGGUUUUUGUAAACCAGUCAGUGCAGAGGCCCUGCAAGAGACUGGAUAUUGUUUUAUGUGCAGCUUACCAUUGGGCAGGAAAGUGCUGUCAGUCACAGUUCCCUUCCCAUGUCACAUUCCCUUCUGGGAGAGGAUUGUUUGUCCUUGGUUUGGGUGAAACUAAUCAGCCAAUCAGCACUGCAUGCUGUGCUCUAAUACACUUUUUGUUCAACAGCUGCAAAUUGCUUUAGCAGCUUAGGAGUGACAUUUCUGGAAAGGUGAGAGACCUUGUCUGGAAACAGUAGAGGGUUAAAAAUAGGCUUCUCUAGGCUGAAAUAAAUGUUAUUGCCCACCUCACAGCAGCAACAGAAGAACACAUUCUGCUUGCUUGCUUGCUUUCUCUUUUGUUGUCAGAGUGUGAAGAUGGUGAUUUGUCAUCCUGGAUAAACAGAGCAAGAUUUCAAGGGUAUCUUCAUGUGGAUGGCUUUACACUUCAUGAACUUGGAGACAGAGGAAAACUUGUGGCUAUUGCAGUCAUUGAUGAUAAAAACUCUUCAGUGGAACAUACCAGGAACAGAACUGAGUGUUGGUGACAGUGUGGGAGAAGUUUGCUGAUAUGAUGUAGAGAACUUGGGGAAGUUUGUUAGAUCUGAAGAGAUGCCAGGGUGAAAACAAGAGAGGAGCAAGGCAGGAAGCACAAAAGCAAACCUAUCUCAUGAAGGAAACAGCACAACUUCAAGCACAGUUUUAAGCACAGCAUACCAAGGAGGAACAGAAAUCCCAAGCAGAGCAAAGGGGAGGAGUGGCUUAGAGAAAAGCAAAAGCACCCCACAAAGCACACAGCCAAAACACCACCCCACAAAGGACACAGCCAACCUACCCCCGCAAAGGGGAUCAGCCAAAGGCUUCUGCCUCUCCUGGGGCAGCUUAAAAAGGGGAGGUCAAUUGAAGUCUCCUCCCACCCCAGCUGUGGCCACUUUGCCCUCCCUGCUCAGUGCCCUUUAUAAGCAGAGCAGGAGGAGCCCAGCCCCAAGCUGGGCCCAUUGCGGGCCAAGGGAUCCUCCGCCUGGCAUCCCAGGAGGUUGGAUCCUCGAAGGUUUUGCUCUGGGUUCUGCGAUGGAGGCAAAGAUGGAGCAGGAGCACUAACUGGAGCUGGUAACGGACCAGCAGCAGCAGCUGGUAAUGGAACUGAUAAACAAAGAGCAAGUGCGACUGAAAGAGCUUUGCAGAAAGCAGGAGUCAGCCACCUGCCACCCAUCCCCUCCUGACCCCAACCCCAGAAACCCAAAGCAGCACUUGGCACAGGAGGUCUCUCGUGUUGCAGUCUCAACUUCAAGCCCUGGAAUACUUUGCUUCAGCCAGCAGCAUGGGGUUGGAUACCAACAGCAGAGUCGACUUAACCUGUGACUAAGUGAACUUUAAGUGUUCUGACUCCACAGUGGAACCUGAUAAAGAAAGAUGUGAAUGGAA